UUAUCGACUGUCACGUCAUCGAU
rnacentral:snRNA from 1 species